GAUGAACGCUGGCGGCGUGCCUAAUACAUGCAAGUCGAGCGAACAGACGAGGAGCUUGCUCCUCUGACGUUAGCGGCGGACGGGUGAGUAACACGUGGAUAACCUACCUAUAAGACUGGGAUAACUUCGGGAAACCGGAGCUAAUACCGGAUAACAUGUUGAACCGCAUGGUUUAACAGUGAAAGACGGUCUUGCUGUCACUUAUAGAUGGAUCCGCGCCGCAUUAGCUAGUUGGUAAGGUAAUGGCUUACCAAGGCAACGAUGCGUAGCCGACCUGAGAGGGUGAUCGGCCACACUGGAACUGAGACACGGUCCAGACUCCUACGGGAGGCAGCAGUAGGGAAUCUUCCGCAAUGGGCGAAAGCCUGACGGAGCAACGCCGCGUGAGUGAAGAAGGUCUUCGGAUCGUAAAACUCUGUUAUUAGGGAAGAACAAAUGUGUAAGUAACUAUGCACGUCUUGACGGUACCUAAUCUGAAAGCCACGGCUAACUACGUG
rnacentral:rRNA from 1 species